GGGGGGGGGGGGGGGGGGGGGGGGGGGGGGCGGGGCGGGGGGAGGGGGGGGAAGCUUGCUUCUCUGAUGGUAGCGGCGGACGGGUGAGUAACACGUGGAUAACCUACCUAUAAGACUGGGAUAACUUCGGGAAACCGGAGCUAAUACCGGAUGAUAUUUUGAACCGCAUGGUUCAAAAGUGAAAGACGGUCUUGCUGUCACUUAUAGAUGGAUCCGCGCUGCAUUAGCUAGUUGGUAAGGUAACGGCUUACCAAGGCAACGAUGCAUAGCCGACCUGAGAGGGUGAUCGGCCACACUGGAACUGAGACACGGUCCAGACUCCUACGGGAGGCAGCAGUAGGGAAUCUUCCGCAAUGGGCGAAAGCCUGACGGAGCAACGCCGCGUGAGUGAUGAAGGUCUUCGGAUCGUAAAACUCUGUUAUUAGGGAAGAACAUAUGUGUAAGUAACUGUGCACAUCUUGACGGUACCUAAUCAGAAAGCCACGGCUAACUACGUG
rnacentral:rRNA from 1 species